GUGCCUGGGAGCAGGGCAGCACGUUGAACCCUUAAAAGCAUUGGCACCAAGGGCAGACGCAGCCUUGCUCCCUUAGAGUGCCUCCUGCAUCGUUAUUAGGAACAGGAACCAGCAGCAGGGCAGCUCCAGGGGAAUAUUAUUUAUCAUCCUCGAAGGCUGCACAAACAACCUCUUAUUCUUGCCCCCUUUGCCCUCGGUGGGCGGGCUGCGCUCCCACGGAGAGUUCAAGGGAAGGAAGUGUGCAUCUGCGGGGCCGUGUGGGGGCAGCCGGCUCUGAAGUGGUCUGACCACGAGCCCCCGCGGCCGGGCACGGCGCCCGGCAGACCUUCAGCCCCAGCACGAGCUGCGUGCGAGUGGUUGCAUCCCCUGGCAGUGCUGGAGCGGGGCGAUGCAGGAUCAGUCCCACCACAACCAGCCCUGCAAGGGAAGGGGUAGGUGCUUGAGGUCCUUCCAAGCAUGGGGAAAAAGUCCCUGGGUGCUGCUGGCGUCCCAGAGCGUCGGGAUGCAGCGCUGGGGCGUUGCCACGCCGAGUGACAGCUCGUGCUCUGCAAAGUGUGGCUCUGCUGGUGCAAACGCCAGGUCCUGUGCACGCAGUGAGCCUGGCAGCGGGACGCCACCAGGCUCCUCUCCUGACACUGCUUACCCCACCACUACCCAGCCUUUGCUCACCUUGCACUUGUCUUUUCCAUUGCGUUUUUCAAGCUUUCGGUGCUGGCACCUCCGCAAAAGGAGGGAAGAGGUGGAGUUCCUGCAGAAAGCCAAGACUUCCCCCGUGGCCCCUGUGCCGGCAGGAGCCAUGUUUGGAGCCAUACAUCAUCGAUGGAAGCUCCGUGACUAUAGAGCACCGAUUCAUGGCAUUGCUGGGGGACAUCUGUGCGGAGCGAGGCGCGGCGGCGAGCUGAAUGCGCCCUGUGUGGAGCCCAGAUUCCGCGGAGGAGCGGGGAAAGCCGGCGGACAGAAAGGCUGAAUGAAUGGCAGGAGAAAUCAUUUCAUCUAUGCAAAUCCCUGCCAAGCUCCCUGCGCAGCUGCCGUCAGCGGGGAGCUCAGCCCUGCCGCGCGGCCACGCAGGAAGAUUUUUGUUGUGCACCGAGCGGCUGCGUGAGGUCCCGCGGCCCCGCAGCCCCCCAGCUGCUGCCCCCUGUGUCCGCUGCACCCGCGCUGAGACACCCGGCCCUGGCAGAAACCCCCUAGACAGUGAAAGCUAAUUACCGGCUUAAAGCUAAUUACACCUUCCUUGGCCGUAAAAGGAGCAGCAGCGUUGCGUGGCUCAGCGCUGGCUGCAAUGAUUAGAGCGGCAGCAGCGGCGGCGAUGCUCUGGGGACCUGGAGCGAGCCCCGCAGGGGCCUGGCUGCCCCCCAGGAUGGUGACAGCUCCGCGCCCCCCCUGCCAGCAGCACGGGUGGGAGGCGGAAAGGAAAGCGCGAGCAGAGAGCGAGGGCUCUGCAGCCUCAGGUCCCGCGCAGGAGGCUGAGGAGGCGCGAUGCUCGCCGGGCUGGAGGUGAUCCUGGUGAAGGGACAGCGAGCUCGGGGGGCUGCGGGGUGCUGUGCUCAUCGUGCCUGGCACAAGGCAGCAACUGCUGGUCCCCAGCCCUGGGGUCAGCUCUGCUGUGGUUGCCCAAACCCACACCAGGACACGGGGACAGCAUUGGGCCAGGCACUUCAUGCUGGAUCAGGAACGUUUUGUUGGGCCAGGCACUUUGGAGACCCAAACCUGGACACCCAGAGCAGGG